rnacentral:rRNA from 1 species
ACCAACAGGGAUUGCCCUAGUAACGGCGAGUGAAGCGGCAACAGCUCAAAUUUGAAAUCUGGCUCUUUUAGAGUCCGAGUUGUAAUUUGCAGAGGGCGCUUUGGCUUUGGCAGCGGUCCAAGUUCCUUGGAACAGGACGUCACAGAGGGUGAGAAUCCCGUACGUGGUCGCUAGCUAUUGCCGUGUAAAGCCCCUUCGACGAGUCGAGUUGUUUGGGAAUGCAGCUCUAAAUGGGAGGUAAAUUUCUUCUAAAGCUAAAUACUGGCCAGAGACCGAUAGCGCACAAGUAGAGUGAUCGAAAGAUGAAAAGCACUUUGGAAAGAGAGUCAAACAGCACGUGAAAUUGUUGAAAGGGAAGCGCUUGCAGCCAGACUUGCUUGCAGUUGCUCACCCGGGCCUCUGUGCCCGGUGCAUUCUUCUGCAGGCAGGCCAGCAUCAGUUUGGGCGGUGGGAUAAAGGUCUCUGUCACGUACCUCUCUUCGGGGAGGCCUUAUAGGGGAGGCGACAUACCACCAGCCUGGACUGAGGUCCGCGCAUUUAUGCUAGGAUGCUGGCGUAAUGGCUGUAAGCGGCCCGUCUUGAAACACGGACCAAGGAGUCUAACAUCUAUGCGAGUGUUUGGGUGUCAAGCCCGAACGCGUAAUGAAAGUGAACGGAGGUGGGAACCCGCAAGGGUGCACCAUCGACCGAUCCUGAUGUCUUCGGAAGGAUUUGAGUAAGAGCAUGGCUGUUGGGACCCGAAAGAUGGUGAACUAUGCUUGAAUAGGGUGAAGCCAGAGGAAACUCUGGUGGAGGCUCGCAGCGGUUCUGACGUGCAAAUCGAUCGUCAAAUUUGGGCAUAGGGGCGAAAGACUAAUCGA